CAGCGGAGAAUUGCGUAUAGUGAUAGCUAUACCGGUGUUCAAUUUUCUCAAAGAACCGUUCAAUGGGUAUAUUUGCUCAAAACCCAUUUCACUAGGCGAAUUUGUUCACUCAAAGCGACCGCCUUUGUCGGCAUCGUUUAUCAUGUCAAUAAAAACGAUGCUGACGAAGGAAAAUGUUGCUUUGCGACAGCAAUCUUACCAAGUAGAAGCUAUUAUCACUGCAAUAUAUCACCACUAAGGAAGCUAUACUGCAAGUUAUGUCGACGAAUUAGGGAGAGAAUGUUCUCAGUAUGC